AGGGAGGCUCCAGUCCUGGGGAGUUCCUGAGUCUUGGGCUUUUGCACCCUGGGGUGCCUCUUUCAGAGUUGGAGAACACUGUGGAGGAGCUGGUGGGUGGGUGAUGCACAGCUCACUGGGCGGGGGGAGGGGUGGUAAGUUCGAGGACCCCCCUUGACCAUAGGAGCCUCCAUGGUCACUGGGUGCAGACUCUGUCCUGCAGCCUGCACACAGACUCUUCCCUGUGCCCACACUCCCAGAGCUGGGUGCACACCACCUCAGGCUACUGGUCCUAAAGGGGAAGGGUCUUCUCGCAGGCAGCUUCCAGAGAGGCUGGGGCCUGAGCCCACUGGCCCAGCUCCCCGCCACCAGGAGAGAGGCAUCAGGGGCCCCACGGGACUGCCCUGGUAAUGAGCUUCCUCCACAGCCUGCACCGGCCGGUAGCAGCCCCUGUGUGGGGAUUCCCGGUUUGUGUGUGCGUGUCCGGCAGGUGGGGAGAUGGGGGCAUGUGCCCAGACGGGGUGAUAUGCACAUAAGCAGGGGUGCAAAUGUGCUUUUGUGUGCCUGGGGUGCACAUUGGGGUCAAAUGUACACAGAUGGGGAUUCAGGUUCAUGUGGGGGAUGAAUGUACAGCACGGGUCUGCUUCUACCUUUGUCUACAUGUAGUUUCUGAUGUGAGCGGCUGUGUGGGCCCAUGAUCUGGGGUGCCCGAUGGGAAUUCAGGCCCUUGGAGGUCAUCACGACCUCUCAGAUCCUGGUGCUGCUGCUCCCCGGGGUAGAGGAGGGUUUCCUCAUGAAACCCCAUGAUUUUUAUGAUCAACCUUCAAUAACCCAAUCUCUGAUUCGUAGAGUUCAGCCUGACCUUGGGUGGCUGGCUUCUGACGUUGGAUGGUCUAGCUUCUGACCAUGGGUGGCUGGCUCCUGGCCUUGGAUCGAUGGUCCUGCCUCUGGCCUUGGGUGGUCUAACCCUUAAUGUUGGGCAGCCCAGCCUGGGAAUAAUUACUCAGCCUGGCCAGAGUCCCCUGUGUUGAGGAACUUGGAAUUGGUUCUUUAGGGACUUUUGGGUGAUGCCAUUCCCCAUCUUACUCAAGAGCAGCCUCCGCUGACCACAGCUGUGCGUCUCAGCAUGAGCCGCCAUCCUUUGCCUAUACUUCCCCCCGUAGCGUCUCUCACCCUUAGUCAGAAUCUGAGUUCCAAAGUUCCGGCAAUCCCCAAGUCCCUGGUGUGCAGACUAAGCCCCACCAUGACCCUGAACUUCCUUCCUUGCCCUGUCCCUCUGUCUAAGUCUCCAGGAUGUCCCCAAGACUUGUCUCUGACUUCUUUCAGGCAGCCUCCCCAGACCUCCUAGGCUAGGUUAGACCUCCUCCCUUGGACCCUCAUGGUGCCCUGUGCUUUCACUGUCAGAGCUCCCACAUCAGAUGACAAUGUCUGUUGCUCUGUUCCUCCCACCAACCAGUGGGAUCACAGGAGCUGGAUCUUACUGGGGGCAUCCUUGUUUCCCCAACAUCACUAAGCAGAAUGUUGGACUCAAAGCAGGCUCACAAGGAUGGAUGGAUGGAUGGAUGGAUGGAUGGAUGGAUGGAUGGAUAAGAGGAAAUGAACAAAUGUUCUUCCAUCACUUCCUGGGUCAGUGCCCACUCCAUGCAGCUCAGGACAGCCUUGACCUUCUCUUCCUCCCACCCCACUGGCCUCCUGCAGAUGUCGUCACCUGCGCUCACCCACCUGCCAGGGAAGGCCAACACCCCUUGCUCUGGCCUGGGGAGAGUUUGUGUGUCUAAAAUGCAGAUUUUCCAGUGAGGACAUGAUGUGGCUGGGUUGAAAUUUAUAGGGUAAUGGUGCCAGCCUCACCUCCAUUUCCUCAGCUGAGGGCCAUGGACAGGGGAAAGCCACUUCGGUCCCUGAGCAGAACAGCGUGGGAGGCUGUGGGGCUAGAGGGAUUCCGGUUCACAUCCUGCUUUGCCACUCCCCAACUGGGGGAACCUUGGUCAGAGCCCCUUUCCCCCUGAGCCUCUGUUUCCCCAUCUGCAAAAGGGGGUAAGGCUGUGCCUCUUGGUUUCACGGGCAUCUUGUCAUCCCUUGUACACAGCAGAAGAUCGAGACCUACCAGGCCUGAAGUAGAAAAAGAUUUUGGAAUAAAAGCAGCUGAUGUUUAUUGAGGCUGCCCAGGAAGAGACACUGCUCCAAGAGGGUCACAUGUAUUAUUGUAUUUACCACCUUAGAGGGAGGCAGUUUUAGUUUCUCUUCUACCCAUUUUACAGAAGGGGGAGGUGAGGCAUGGCAGAGUUAAGUGACCUGUUGAAAGUCACGGAGCAAAGGCGUAGCACAGGCUGGACCCAACCCCAGCCCCCACUGCCAUGUGCUCAAGGCGGAGCCUAGGAGCUGCCGACUGCUCUGUCCCUUCCUCCCACAAGCCCAGAGGUCACCAGCUAAUCACCCUCCAUCAGUUCAGGUCUCUUCCACCCCCAAGACUACUGCAUCCAUCCAAGCCCCACCCCCUCCUGCCUGGAUGCCUCCUCCCACUCCUUCCUCUUGCCUCUCCCCAGAUCACUUCUCCACACAGCAGCCUAAGGGAUGUUUUCAAAUUGUAAAUCUGUUCAUGUUGUUUUACUCUAAUUGAAAUUCUGCAAAAGCUCUUAGGGUAAAGUUCCAUCCCUUUUUCCUCGUCACAGUCUCUCUGCAGCCAUCCAGCCUAACUCCAGGCCCACACAUGCUUCUGCUGGUCCCACCACCCAGUUGGUUCUCCCUCUUGCCUCCCCGCUCAGCUUGAGGGUGGUCAGACACCCUCGCACCCCCCCUGCACAGAGCUCGUGGCACACGAGUUAGAUGAUUAUUUGAUUAACAUCAGCAAGAUGUCUCAGGGGCAGGGCCUCAUCUGUCCCGUUCCCUGCUGCUGCCCCAUGGCCAGACCCUCCAAGUAGGUGCUGCUGCGUCCCUAAACGAGCAAUGGGAGCACCUUCCGGUUGGUUUCAUGUCCAACAGAACACAGACUUGGGCACAGGCCUGGGUGGGGGCACAGGCUAGUGGAGACUUUGAGCAGCUGCCUGGGGAGCGAGUCCUAUUUCCAGCUCCCAGAAACAGGAAGUGAGUCAUGGCCUGAGAAGGCCUGCCGGACGCUGGGCACCUCGGGUGAGAUUGAUGAGCGCCUGGACGGAAGGGCCGGCCACACCUAGGGAAGCAGGAAGGAGCCCAGAGGAAGUGGAUAGGAGGGGAGACCCUCUCCUCAGCAGCGCAGGCGGCCAUGUGGGGCCCCAGCGGAAGUGGGUGAGGUCACCACAGAUGCAGCUACUCAGCCCAUUGUCCCAUCACACCUGGGAAUGGCUGGUGUGGCAGGAGUGGCCACAAGUCCCAACCCCCCAACCCAACUGACACCCAUCCUGGAUCCCCCAGGGCGGGGCCCGUGGGCAGAAUUGGGCAUCCUCUGCUGGAAAAGGAACCAAGGGCUUCCAUAGCCCCAGGACCCCGGCUUGGACAGGCAGUACAGCUACAAAUGGGCAUCCUGAGGCCCAGCCACGGAGGGUGUGCACCCCCAGGUCAUGGGAUCGAGGAGGAGCAGAAUCAGGCAGGAUGAAUCCAACACCUGCCUUGGGGGGCAGGGGGUCUGAAUUUUCUAAGUUCCCUCAAAGAAUGUGUAUUAUUUGUGUUAAAUAUAAACAUGGGGCAAAAGCCAUGGGUAAGGG